rnacentral:rRNA from 1 species
AAUAUUGGACAAUGGGGGCAACCCUGAUCCAGCCAUGCCGCGCGUGUGAAGAAGGUCUUCGGAGUGUAAAGCACUUUAAGUUGGGAGGAAGGGCUUUAGGCUAAUACCCUGAAGUUUUGACGCUACCAACAGAAUAAGCACCGUCUAACCCUGCGCCAGCAGCAGCGUUAAUACAGAGGGUUCAAGCGUUAAUGGGAAUUACUGGGCGAAAAGCGCGCGUAGGUGGUUCAGUAAGAUGGGUGUGAAAUCCCCGGGCUUAACCGGGGAACUGCUUUCAUAACUGCUGAGCUAGAGUACGGUAGAGGGGAGUGGAAUUUCCUGUGUAGCGGUGAAAUGCGUAGAUAUAGGAAGGAACACCAGUGGCGAAGGCGACUACCUGGACUGAUACUGACACUGAGGUGCGAAAGCGUGGGGAGCAAACA